rnacentral:lncRNA from 1 species
AUGAAGGAGUAUCCCCAAGCCAGCCCUGGGGUAUGGGAUGGAGCCGAGCACAAGCGCUCCCGCUCCCGUGGAAGAGGCAGCGAACUGCUGGGGCGCCCCCCCCAUCGCCCCUGGGGGUGGGACCCGGCUGCCCCCGCUGCUCCCGCCCUGGAGGACCGACGGGCCGCCCCGCGCCGCCCUGGGGGUGGGACCCGGCUGCUCCCACGUGGAGGACCGACGGGCCGCCCCGCGCCGCCCUGGGGUGGGACCCGGCUGCCCCCGCUGCUCCCGCGUGGAGGACCGACGGGCCGCCCCGCGCCGCCCUGGGGGUGGGACCCGGCUGCCCCCGCGUGGAGGACCGACCGGCCGCCCCGCGCCGCCCUGGGGUGGGACCCGGCUGCCCCCGCUGCUCCCGCGUGGAUGGGGUGGGACCCGGCUGCCCCCGCUGCUCCCGCGUGGAGGACCGACGGGCCGCCCCGCGCCGCCCUGGGGGUGGGACCCGGCUGCCCCCGCUGCUCCCGCGUGGAGGACCGACGGGCCGCCCCGCGCCGCCCUGGGGGUGGGACCCGGCUGCCCCCGCUGCUCCCGCGUGGAGGACCGACGGGCCGCCCCGCGCCGCCCUGGGGGUGGGACCCGGCUGCCCCCGCUGCUCCCGCGUGGAGGACCGACGGGCCGCCCCGCGCCGCCCUGGGGGUGGGACCCCGCUGCUCCCGCCGGGGAGGACCGACGGGCCGCCCCGCGCCGCCCUGGGGGUGGGACCCGGCUGCCCCCGCUGCUCCCGCGUGGAGGACCGACGGGCCGCCCCGCGCCGCCCUGGGGUGGGACCCGGCUGCCCCCGCUGCUCCCGCGUGGAGGACCGACGGUGGCCCAGAUGCUCCCGCACGGGGUGGGGGUGGGGGCGGGGGGGCCGCCGGGCCGAGCCCCCAGCUAGGGCCGCAGUCGGGCGCCCGGCGCCGCUCGCAGAGGAUGCCCGGGACCCCUCCGCCAGGCAAAGGAGUCCCCGCUCCCUCUCCCUUCUCCGCUGUAGAAAGGCCCUGGCGCCGCCUCCCCAGCCGUGCUCCUUCACCUCAGAGACGUCUCCCCGCCUCCCAGACUCCGCGGCCGAGGGAAGCCGCCCACUCUCCUUUUCCACACUGUGCCAUCUUCUCCCGCAAAACGUGCGCUCGGCCCCGGCUGUGUCCCUCCGCCCCCUCCUCGCUUCUCAAGUCCCCCGGCGGCGAGUGGCCGCGCCGCGCCGCGCGCUCUCGCGAGAGUCCGCCACACGGAAGCCCCGCGCCCGCGAGGAGGCCUCCCGGGACCCCGCGGCGCGCGGUGGCGGGCGGCGCAUGCGUGGCCGCGGCUCCCAGCGCCCCCCGCGCAGCCAGCGGGCGGGGCGGAGCGGAGCGGACCGGGCUGCGCGCGCGCGGGGCCGACCGCCUUCCCCUGCGAGGCCUCGCUGGGUCCCCGUGGCCGGGCUGCCCUCGGGGGCGGUACCGCCCGGCGGCUCCCGUCGGCGUGCGGAGGUGUCCGCGGACGGACGGCCCGGACCGCCCUGGCCCCGGAAGAGCCUGGCGCCGGCCUCGGACGCCGCGGGCCCGACCGGCCACCCGCAGCGGCCUGGACGCGCCGCCGGGGCCGAGCCUCGCACCCCGCACCCCGCAGCCCGCACCCCGCACCCCGCAGCCCGCAGCCCGGGCGGGGCCUGCACGUCCGGCCCCAUCCACCCGGGGCCUCGCCUCCCCGGAGCCCAGCCCCCUCCCGGCCCGGCUGUCCAGCCCCCGCCCACCGCUUCUUUUCAGUCCCCUUGAAAUCUCUCCCGGUCCCCUGGCCUCGGUCUUGCGGACGUUGCACUAA